GAGUCUCCUGAAGGAACGUUGAAGACGACGACGUUGAUAGGCCGGGUGUGUAAGCGCAGCGAUGCGUUGAGCUAAGCGGUACUAAUGAACCGUGAGGCUUAACCUUACAACGCCGAAG
rnacentral:rRNA from 1 species